rnacentral:rRNA from 1 species
GACGAACGCUGGCGGCAUGCCUAACACAUGCAAGUCGAACGAGACCUUCGGGUCUAGUGGCGCACGGGUGCGUAACGCGGGGGAACCUGCCCUUAGGUUCGGAAUAACUCCCCGAAAGGGGUGCUAAUACCGGAUAAUGUCUUCGGGCCAAAGAUUUAUCGCCUUUGGAUGGGCCCGCGUUGGAUUAGCUAGUUGGUAGGGUAAAAGCCUACCAAGGCGAGGAUCCAUAGCUGGUCUGAGAGGAUGAUCAGCCACACUGGGACUGAGACACGGCCCAGACUCCUACGGGAGGCAGCAGUGGGGAAUAUUGGACAAUGGGCGAAAGCCUGAUCCAGCAAUGCCGCGUGAGUGAUGAAGGCCUUAGGGUUGUAAAGCUCUUUUACCCGGGAUGAUAAUGACAGUACCGGGAGAAUAAGCUCCGGCUAACUCCGUG